UGAGUUUUCAUUAAAGUAUUAAUACAGGCGCGAACUGGGGACAAACAUGUAACGGAGAAGAAACGAAAGGGAAACAAAGGCGAGCAAGAGUCUGAAUAAUCUAAAUAGUAUGUGUUCUCAUACAGGAGAAGGUCGAUGUGAUGCACUGACAAGAUGGUUCCGUGGUCUUAAAUAGAGAAGCUGGAAUGAAGUUUACAGGUAGCAAACCUUCCAGGCAAACCUCUACAGACUUUGUAGUUCAUGGACCGACACUCGCGUUUCUCAGCGACGGCUCUUCUGAUGCAAAGGCAUGAAACGCACAUUGGGAUUUGAUGAUGAGAACACCUGCUUCUGGUUCGGAGGGACAGUGCUGCACAUUAGCGGGCAAGACCAUACGAGCCUACUGGAGAGACGCUACUCCGCUCCUGAAAAGCCACUAGACUCGUCAUCGCUGCUUUGGAUAAAAUGAAUAAUAAAGAACCUGUUGAUGGAACUUCGCCUCUCGCUUCCUCUCUGCCACUUAUGUCACAAUUUUAUAUUCCAUAAGUAAAAAAGACUAUUAUUUUAAAGGUAUGUGCAAGCCUCAUUGAGAAGGUUUUUUUUUUUUGUUGUUUUGGCGGCCAUCUGCAAGAUGGCAGUGAGCAUUGUCUAUGUUUCAGUUAAGGUUUCUUCGUUUGAUGAUUAAAGACAUUUCCCCUCAGCAUAGUAUGCAGCCAACAAGGUAUUUUGUCUGUCUAUUUUACUUUAGUAAAAUAAUUUUUCACAUGCUGUGAUGCUAUUGUUUUAUGUAAGUGCUAAAUGCAUGUUUUAUAUUAUGUCUGUACUUGUCAACACUUUUAGUUUUCACAGUAUAUUUGGAGAAAGAAGCCUCGAAUAAACCAGUAAUGAGAGCCACUUUUGUUCCCCUGUGCUUCAAGGGAAUUACAUUGAAAACUCUUCACGAUGUACAGAGCUGACACUGAGGGACUGAUAGAGGAGUCAAAACCACACACUAUACACACACAUAAGGAAGCACACAGUUUUAAAGUGCAACAUUUUCAAGAUAAGACCAUGAAGAACUUGGACGGGCUUUGUAACAGU